GGGGAAUAUUGCACAAUGGGGGAAACCCUGAUGCAGCGACGCCGCGUGGAGGAAGAAGGUCUUCGGAUUGUAAACUCCUGUUGUUGGGGAAGAUAAUGACGGUACCCAACAAGGAAGUGACGGCUAACUACGUGCCAGCAGCCGCGGUAAAACGUAGGUCACAAGCGUUGUCCGGAAUUACUGGGUGUAAAGGGAGCGCAGGCGGGAAGACAAGUUGGAAGUGAAAUCUAUGGGCUCAACCCAUAAACUGCUUUCAAAACUUUUUUUCUUGAGUAGUGCAGAGGUAGGCGGAAUUCCCGGUGUAGCGGUGGAAUGCGUAGAUAUCGGGAGGAACACCAGUGGCGAAGGCGGCCUACUGGGCACCAACUGACGCUGAGGCUCGAAAGUGUGGGGUAGCAAACAGGAUUAGAUACCCUGGUAGUCCACACCGUAAACGAUGAUUACUAGGUGUUGGAGGAUUGACCCCUUCAGUGCCGCAGUUAACACAAUAAGUAAUCCACCUGGGGAGUACGACCGCAAGGUUGAAACUCAAAGGAAUUGACGGGGGCCCGCACAAGCAGUGGAGUAUGUGGUUUAAUUCGACGCAACGCGAAGAACCUUACCAAGUCUUGACAUCCCUUGACAGGCAUAGAAAUAUGUUUUCUCUUCGGAGCAAGGAGACAGGUGGUGCAUGGUUGUCGUCAGCUCGUGUCGUGAGAUGUUGGGUUAAGUCCCGCAACGAGCGCAACCCUUAUGGUCAGUUACUACGCAAGAGGACUCUGGCCAGACUGCCGUUGACAAAACGGAGGAAGGUGGGGAUGACGUCAAAUCAUCAUGCCCUUUAUGACUUGGGCUACACACGUACUACAAUGGCGUUAAACAAAGAGAAGCAAGACCGCGAGGUGGAGCAAAACUCAGAAACAACGUCCCAGUUCGGACUGCAGGCUGCAACUCGCCUGCACGAAGUCGGAAUUGCUAGUAAUCGUGGAUCAGCAUGCCACGGUGAAUACGUUCCCG
rnacentral:rRNA from 1 species